GUUGAUCCCGAUAAAUCCUUUAUCUCCUCGGAUAGAUUCCCCAGUAGAGUUGUUGGUGUGGUGGACCUUGUUUGUGAUAACUCUCGUCCCCAGCUGGAAUGAUUGAUGAUUCAUCCCUUGCAGAGUUCUUUGCUUCCUGGUAUCUCUGAUCCCCAGCAGAUUGGAUACUCUCCGGUGAACUUGGCUUUCUCUCUUGAGAUGUAGUACCGGGUGGUUGAUUCCUGGACCUGGUUGUGUUAGAUAUGUCUGUCUGUCAGCAUACAUCAUACAUAAACCAC
rnacentral:lncRNA from 1 species